rnacentral:rRNA from 1 species
CAGCAGUGGGGAAUAUUGCACAAUGGGCGCAAGCCUGAUGCAGCGACGCCGCGUGAGGGAUGGAGGCCUUCGGGUUGUAAACCUCUUUUAUCGGGGAGCAAGCGAGAGUGAGUUUACCCGUUGAAUAAGCACCGGCUAACUACGUGCCAGCAGCCGCGGUAAUACGUAGGGUGCAAGCGUUAUCCGGAAUUAUUGGGCGUAAAGGGCUCGUAGGCGGUUCGUCGCGUCCGGUGUGAAAGUCCAUCGCUUAACGGUGGAUCCGCGCCGGGUACGGGCGGGCUUGAGUGCGGUAGGGGAGACUGGAAUUCCCGGUGUAACGGUGGAAUGUGUAGAUAUCGGGAAGAACACCAAUGGCGAAGGCAGGUCUCUGGGCCGUUACUGACGCUGAGGAGCGAAAGCGUGGGGAGCGAACAGGAUUAGAUACCCUGGUAGUCCACGCCGUAAACGGUGGAUGCUGGAUGUGGGGCCCGUUCCACGGGUUCCGUGUCGGAGCUAACGCGUUAAGCAUCCCGCCUGGGGAGUACGGCCGCAAGGCUAAAACUCAAAGAAAUUGACGGGGGCCCGCACAAGCGGCGGAGCAUGCGGAUUAAUUCGAUGCAACGCGAAGAACCUUACCUGGGCUUGACAUGUUCCCGACGGUCGUAGAGAUACGGCUUCCCUUCGGGGCGGGUUCACAGGUGGUGCAUGGUCGUCGUCAGCUCGUGUCGUGAGAUGUUGGGUUAAGUCCCGCAACGAGCGCAACCCUCGCCCCGUGUUGCCAGCGGAUUAUGCCGGGAACUCACGGGGGACCGCCGGGGUUAACUCGGAGGAAGGUGGGGAUGACGUCAGAUCAUCAUGCCCCUUACGUCCAGGGCUUCACGCAUGCUACAAUGGCCGGUACAACGGGAUGCGACGCGGCGACGCGGAGCGGAUCCCUGAAAACCGGUCUCAGUUCGGAUCGCAGUCUGCAACUCGACUGCGUGAAGGCGGAGUCGCUAGUAAUCGCGAAUCAGCAACGUCGCGGUGAAUGCGUUCCCGGGCCUUGUACACACCGCCCGUCAAGUCAUGAAAGUGGGCAGCACCCGAAGCCGGUGGCCUAACCCCUUGUGGGAUGGAGCCGUCUAAGGUGAGGCUCGUGAUUGGGACUAAGUCGUAACAAGGUAGCCGUACCGGAAGGUGCGGCUG